CCUACGGGAGGCAGCAGUGGGGAAUAUUGCACAAUGGGCGCAAGCCUGAUGCAGCCAUGCCGCGUGUAUGAAGAAGGCCUUCGGGUUGUAAAGUACUUUCAGCGGGGAGGAAGGGGUUAAGGUUAAUAACCUUAGCCAUUGACGUUACCCGCAGAAGAAGCACCGGCUAACUCCGUGCCAGCAGCCGCGGUAAU
rnacentral:rRNA from 1 species